rnacentral:rRNA from 1 species
AACGUAGGACACAAGCGUUAUCCGGAGUUACUGGGCGUAAAGGGCGUGUAGGCGGAUCAAUAAGUCUAUUCUGAAAGCUCCUGGCUAAACUGGGAGAGGCGAAUGGAGACUGUUGGUCUAGAGUGAGGAAGAGGAAAGUGGAAUUCCGCGUGUAGUGGUGAAAUGCGUAGAGAUGCGGAGGAACACCAGUGGCGAAAGCGGCUUUCUGGUC